rnacentral:ncRNA from 2 species
UACUUAUCCAGAGCGACCGAGGGACUAGGCCCUAUGACGUCCGGCAACCCCCUUUUUUGGGAAAGGUGCCAAUUCCUGCAGAAUGACUUUCAUUCUGAGAGAUAAGUC